AUGAACAUAUAGCAAUAUCUAUUGCCCCCCAUAACAUAAGGAAAUCAAAAUCAGCUCAACUUAGAUAACAAUGUAUAUACUUUAUCACAUUAUAUAGGUGUUGCAACAAUGUAUAUACUUUAUCACAUUAUAAGUCCUCACACCAUCAACUAUGACAAAAUCUAAGAGUAUAAGUUUGGUUACAUUCACCCAAGUCCAAACAUAAAAUUCUGUCCAACAUAGUACAUCCCACUUUGAUAAUUUAAUAGGAUUUAAUAUACCGAACGAAACCUGACAAGUGAUAUGUGUUUUAGGUAUCUACAGAACAGCCUCUAAAAUUUCCAUCUUGUAACUUUAUUUUAAUACCACCUCUAACAGGGCCUAAUCUCCCAUAACAAAAUACUGUACCCAGGAACAUAUAUUUCGGGACAGCAAACUAAACUGAUAGAUGCUCUCAAACUGUACAGCAAAAUAAAUACUCUAAAGAAACCUUGAAUCUUUAUCUAAAACUUAUGUAAAGGGGCCAACUCAAAAUUCUGAGCCUAGCUAACUCAUUUUUCAGAUAUAAGCUUGCUUGUUUUCCAUUGUACCUGAAGAACUAGCUACUACUGCUCCUCUGCCCGUGCUGCUGAUGCUCAUCUUCCGCUGAUCCAACUGAUUGUGUUAUGCUGCUACUGAUUAGAACAAUUUUGCUCCUCUGCACUCUGAAGAAGGUACUUCGUCAGAGUACUGUACCUGAAAAUUAAUGAACUUGAUUUAGUGUUAACUGAAUCAUGACAAUGCCAAUAAAGGAGUAAAUUCAGUUGUUAACAUAAAAUUCAUUGAGUACAUUCAUUUUAAUACAAAAACUGCUGCUGAUCAUUGUGAAAAAAAAGCAUGGAUUGUUGUUAACUGAAAAUUAGUGAAAGAAACUAUUGGUGAUCAGGGAUUACUGUUAAUUAAAAAUAGAGCAUCUGGCUUGGCUUAUCAUGUUGGGUAAAAUGAAUGACACUGUGUUGUGCUGCUGCUUGACUUAUCAAUUAGUCUGAACUCUCAAAUAGCAUGAAUAUUUGAAACGACAGGCCUCUAAAUGACACUUGAGUAAAAUGAAUACUUGCAGGUUCAGCCAACGUGUUGCUACACUAACAGUAAAAUGAAUACUUGCAGGUUAGUGUUAGUACUCCAAAACUUGAGUGUCAUGAAUGAUGACUCUCAUUUACUGAAUUUACUCCAACACUAAGUCCACAAAAAUGAAUCGGUUCAGUAAACUUGAAGUACUCAACACUGAACAUGGUUCAGAGCUCACUACAAUACACUACAUCACGCAAUGGUUCAGACCUCACUACACUAGAACAAGCUCACUACACUACACUACACAACACUACACUACACAUGCUUAAACUCUGAACAUAAACAAACACCAGCAAUGCCAGACCAAGACUUUGCUGGCAAAUUCUAAGAAGUAUUUAUGAGUUUUAGCUGACCUGAGGAACUAUGAAAGAAUGGUUAGGUACCCCUGAUAAAUGCAGUAAAACAGAAGGCAAUGGAAUUAGACAUGUCUUGAUGAAGCCAUUUACAGCAGCGUUCAACUGAACAUACAACUGAACAUAAAUGCAGUAAAACAGAAGGCAAUGUAGUUACUUCCUAUUACUUCCUACUAGUUCGAGUUCGUGGCACUCACCCUUCUAGACAAUAUGUAAACUACCUCUGUUUCUAGGCAACAAGAGUUAUCAUCUGUUUUGUUUUUGGUCGUGGUAACAAAGUAAACAGAGCUUGAGUGCUUGACAACACAACAACAAAAGUUAUCAUCAGUUUAGUUUAGUCUUCUUCAUUCGCUUGUGUGUGUGUGUUUGUGCACCCACUGUCGGUUCGUUCAUGCUCUAAAACUGAAAACUAAAUCUGGUAGUUUGAAAACUGAAAACAGAGCUAUGUUGAUGAACAUGAACCAACUCCAAAAAUAAGUUAGUUUGGAGCACCAGCCACCAGGGGAGCAAGCUCAGUCGAGAGGGAUGGGCCAUGGAGUUGAUCAGGUGGGAUAAAGUUCCAUCACAUAGUAACAAGCUCAGGAGAGCGUAAGCAAGUUUUUUUUUUAACUGAAACCAAGUGUCUUAGUACAAACUACUGAUCAACAGCACAAACCUAACAAUCUAACAGGAGGAGAUCGAAGCAGGGAGGGAGCGAGGGGACGGUGCCGUACCUCGCAGGAUGGAUCUGGCCGCGGCUUGAACUCGGUUGUGGAUCCAGGCGAGGAGAAGGGAGGUGGGAGCUCUGGCGCCGG
rnacentral:lncRNA from 1 species